GUGCCUUAAACUAAUGAGUAAGGAAAAUAUACAAGCCGUGGUGACGCGCGGUUUACAUAGUCAAUGAAAGGGUGAGGUGGUGCGCCCAUCUUGUCCUUUCGACUCCCUUAUUUUUGUGAGGGCCUAGGUCGUCCCGUGCGACAACUACCUACUUUUGUAGUCGUUGCUGGUGAUAGCGAUCUACCCU